UACGAAGGGGGCUAGCGUUGUUCGGAAUUACUGGGCGUAAAGCGCACGUAGGCGGAUUGUUAAGUCAGGGGUGAAAUCCCGGAGCUCAACUCCGGAACUGCCCUUGAUACUGGCAAUCUAGAGACUGGAAGAGGUUAGUGGAAUUCCCAGUGUAGAGGUGAAAUUCGUAGAUAUUGGGAAGAACACCAGUGGCGAAGGCGGCUAACUGGUCCAGUACUGACGCUGAGGUGCGAAAGCGUGGGGAUCAAACAGG
rnacentral:rRNA from 1 species